GUAACAAGGUCUCCGUUGGUGAACCAGCGGAGGGAUCAUUACAGAGUUAUACAACUCCCAUACCAUCUGUUAACCUACCCAGUUAUGCCUCGGCGUAAGCUCGGUUGGAGGCACCUGCAGCUACCCUGUAGUUGCGGACUGCCAACUCCAGCCGCGGCCCGCCGGCGGUACACUAAACUCUGUUUUAUUUUAUAUUCUGAGCGUCUUAUUUUAAUAAGUUAAAACUUUCAACAACGGAUCUCUUGGUUCUGGCAUCGAUGAAGAACGCAGCGAAAUGCGAUAAGUAAUGUGAAUUGCAGAAUUCAGUGAAUCAUCGAAUCUUUGAACGCACAUUGCGCCCAUCAGUAUUCUGGUGGGCAUGCCUGUUCGAGCGUCAUUUCAACCCUUAAGCCUAGCUUAGUGUUGGGAAUCUGCUGUACUGCAGUUCCUUAAAGACAGUGGCGGAGCGGCGGUAGUCCUCUGAGCGUAGUAAUUUAUUUCUCGCUUUUGUCAGGCUCUGUCCUCCCGCCAUAAAACCCCCAAUUUUUUAGUGGUUGACCUCGGAUCAGGUAGGAAUACCCGCUGAACUUAAGCAUAUCA
rnacentral:misc_RNA from 1 species